CUGUAACAGGUGAAGCCCUUUGCAGUGUGCUGACUUGCCAGACCACUGUCUUCCGCCAAUCAAAUGGCUAACAGUGUUAUCAGACAAGCAUCUGAACCAUGUCCUAGAGAAUUUUCUGCUUAGCUGCCAUCUUUUCUCCUGCUGCUAUCACAGGGGAGAACGUGAUUGAAGAAAGCCAGAUUUAGCACAAUGGGUUUCAUAUAUGAAAGGUAUAUUAAUUCACCUUGCAUGUUUUUUUUUAAUUUUUGUAUGUUUGAUUUUUGUUUUGGUCUUCUUGUUUGUUUGUUUGUUUAGGCUUAGUUUUGGGGUUUUGUUCUUGAGUUUUGGAUUUGGGGUUUUGGUUUUUGGUGACAGGGAUUCUCUGCAUACUCCUGGCUAUCCUGGAAUUUGAUUUGUAGACCAGGCAGGCCUCAAACUUACAGAUACAGCCUGCCUCUGCUUUCUGAGAUUAAAGGCGUACACCACCACUGUCUGAAGACAUUUUUUUUUUUUAAAAAGAGAGAAAACUGAAUUAAAAGUAUCUUGCCUUUACAUUGACUCAAUGGUGGACAUCUACUAUCUCUACAUUGAUUAGUUUUGUGUCCUUAACUAAAGGUACUAGAUAGGAAAAUCAAAGAAAAUCAUACAUACAUGAGUAUUUAAAUUAAAAUUCAAAAUUACCCAAAGUGAUAAGAUUGGUAAUUUACAAAAAUUAGUAGGAGCUCUAAAAACUACCUGCAAGCUUACAGUGUUAAAAAGGUAAAUGUUAAUAUUUAAAAGUUAUAUAAAGCCUAGAAAUACAUUUUAAAUUAACCCUUAUUUUUCUCUCUGAACAUUCCUCUUCAUUUUGUAACAGAAUAAAAAUCAGGAUCACAUAAAACAUUAUGGCCUGUUUUAGGAUUAAAAUGUGGGAAAGAGAGAUGCCAUUUUACACUAAGAAUUUCCCCUUUAAAAGCUACUUUCCUUUAAAAAAUAUCAUCACACUCGAGUAUGUCUUAUUUUCUCCUUGAGUGACUUUCUCUUAACCCUAAUGCUUAAGCUUGUAUUAAAAUAUAAUUAUUAUACAACUAGCCCUAAAAUUUUUCUGUGUCAAAGCAAAACUUUUGGUUUGGCCUUAGUAGACGUCCUUAAAGUUGGAGAAAGCUCCCUGGGUGCUAAGAUAGGGAAUGAUUUCUUUACCUUUAGCACCGGCAUUUCCGGUGUCUCAUAUCCAUCACUGUGAUAUGAGGGACCAGGAAUGCCUGUGCUACGUUGAGAUUUUGCCAGACUCUCCUUAAAUACAUGGCUUAUAUAAUACCUCAGGUUGAUCUGCUUCUGCCUUUGUUGUUGAUAUUAUUUGUUUUCUGUUUGUUUGUUUGUUUCUGUCAAAACUAUGCUUAACUUAUAUUAAGUGCAUGGAUAUUGAUGAUAAAAAAUUUUAGAUUUAUUCCCUGUCCUGGGUCAAAUAGGACAAUACAUGGUUUUUCCAAGGGACAUUGAAAUAAGGGCUGACCCCUCAGAAGUCCCAAGUGAACAUCCUACCUCUGAGGCAAUAGGCUAAGACACAAUAACAUAAUUAUUGUAAAAUGAACAUAUUUUGUAUCCAAAACACAUUAAAAGUGAUUGUUUCUCUUGGCUUAUAAUCGUUUUAAAAAUAUUAUUAAUUCUUUGAGAAUUCCAUUCAAAUGUAUUUGAUCAUGUUUACAUCCCCCAAUUCCUCCCAGACCCACCCUACUUUCCUACCUACUCAACUUUAAAUUUUUCUUUUUAUGUUUUCCAAGUUGAAUCUGCUCUUAGCUUAAAAUCUUAAAGUUGUUCAGCUUCCUUCCUUUCCUGUCUCCUUUCCUCUCUCUAAAAAUAGAAACAGAAGUAAGGUUGACUUUUUCUGGUGUUUGUUUGUUUUCGAGACAGGGUUUCUCUGUAUAGCCCUGGCUGUCCUGGAACUCACUC
rnacentral:lncRNA from 1 species